UAUCAAUUAUCAACAUUUUCUCUCUCCUCUCUCUCCUGUUUUCUCUUUUACUUCGAACUUCGCAGUGCUUCGUUCCGCAGGCGGGGCCUCCAGUCGAGGAAAAUGCAUUUCUCCACUGCGAAUUUUGCCUUUACCUCCUCCAUUACGGCUGCGAUUCUUCCACUUCCGUCUCGAAAUCUUGCGUGUUUCAGGAUUUCGCACCGGAAAUUUCAUCGGAGCUUCGUUUCUGGUUCAAUGCUAGAGUUUAUGGCGUGUAGAAGAAAUCUCAGAGUUUCGGCGAAUUCGGGUUAUCGAGAGAGUAGCAAUGCCUCGACUGCGUCGGACGUGCCGUUCCCUCGCGAUUAUUCUGAUCUUCUUGAUCAAGCUAGAAAAGCAACUGAAGCGGCUUUAAGAGACAACAAACAAUUGAUGGAGAUCGAAUUUCCAACUGCUGGACUUGAAUCAGUACCAGGUGAUAGCGAAGGAGGAAUUGAAAUGACUGAGAGUAUGCAAUUGAUUCGCCAAUUUUGUGACUGCUCCAUAGAUCCACUGAAAGCCACACGGACCAGAGUAUUCUUUCCAGAGGCCAACGAAGUUAAAUUUGCAAGAAAUACAGCGUUUGAGGGAGCUUCGUUCAAAUUGGACUAUCUCACGAAGCCAUCAUUUUUUGAGGAUUUUGGUUUUGUUGAGAAAGUGAAAAUGGCGGACCGUGUGAAACCAGAAGAUGAGCUUUUUCUGGUUGCCUAUCCAUACUUCAAUGUCAAUGAAAUGCUUGUGGUCGAAGAGCUUUACAAGGAAGCUGUCGUGAACACCACACGGAAACUCAUAAUAUUUAAUGGAGAGCUCGACCGCAUUAGAUCCGGGUAUUAUCCGCCAUUUUUCUACCCAAAGCUGGCCGCACUUGCGAAGACUCUCUUCCCCAUGAUGGAGACUGUAUAUUAUAUUCACAACUUCAAGGGACAAAAAGGAGGAGUUCUUUUCAGGUGCUACCCAGGUCCUUGGAAAGUCCUCAGAAAAGUGAGGAAUAAAUUUGUGUGUCUGCAUCAGCAACAAGACAUGCCUUCUCUCAAGGAAGUUGCCUUGAACAUUCUCCCUGCAACUUGAAGGUCUUAUUAGUAGAUAUUAUCAUUCAUUUUGAUGUGAAGAGAAUCCCUUAUUGCCUGGCAAUACCAAAGGUUUGAGGGUACUGAGAAAAAUAAUACCUUCUUUGACACACCAAAAAGGUUUCCACCAUUGCUACUCUUCUUUCCUCGCCCAACACGAACGCUGACCGAUCGCCAAGUUACCCCUUCUUUGGUGUUAGGCGUGUCUCAGGCGGGGCAGAAUUGGGCACGCAAACAACCCAUCUUCAACAUUUGAAGUUAAAGAAAUAAUAAUGCUCUAUUCACUCAUGGGAGGUAACUAACAUGAUUUUGUUGCACAUUCUAUCUCAUCUAACAUUCUUCAUUCGAGGUUUCUCUUUCGUGUCGUUCAAUGUCUCUAAAACCCUUAUCUAAAAGACCUAGAAAGACCUA